rnacentral:rRNA from 1 species
GAUGAACGCUGACAGAAUGCUUAACACAUGCAAGUCUUUGGCGAAGCUGUGCUUGCACAGCCUAGCCAAGGCGGACGGGUGAGUAACGCGUAAGGAACUUGCCCUGCAGUCAGGGAUAACAGACGGAAACGACUGAUAAGACCUGAUAAAGUCAGGCGGACUCAUGUCCAGCCUGAUGAAAAGAAAUGCUGCAGGAGAGCCUUGCGUCCUAUUAGCUUGUUGGUGGGGUAACGGCCCACCAAGGCGAUGAUAGGUAGCCGGCCUGAGAGGGUAGACGGCCACAAGGGGACUGAGAUACGGCCCUUACUCCUACGGGAGGCAGCAGUGGGGAAUAUUGGACAAUGGGGGCAACCCUGAUCCAGCAAUUCUGUGUGCACGAUGAAGGUUUUCGGAUUGUAAAGUGCUUUCAGCAGGGAAGAAAAAAAUGACGGUACCUGCAGAAGAAGCGACGGCUAAAUACGUGCCAGCAGCCGCGGUAAUACGUAUGUCGCAAGCGUUAUCCGGAAUUAUUGGGCAUAAAGGGCAUCUAGGCGGCCAGAUAAGUCUGGGGUGAAAACUUGCGGCUCAACCGCAAGCCUGCCCUGGAAACUAUGUGGCUAGAGUACUGGAGAGGUGGACGGAACUGCACGAGUAGAGGUGAAAUUCGUAGAUAUGUGCAGGAAUGCCGAUGAUGAAGAUAGUUCACUGGACGGUAACUGACGCUGAAGUGCGAAAGCUAGGGGAGCAAACAGG